rnacentral:rRNA from 1 species
GAUGAACGCUAGCUACAGGCUUAACACAUGCAAGUCGAGGGGCAGCAUGAUUGAAGCUUGCUUCAAUUGAUGGCGACCGGCGCACGGGUGAGUAACACGUAUCCAACCUUCCGUACACUCAGGGAUAGCCUUUCGAAAGAAAGAUUAAUACCUGAUGGUAUCUUAAGCACACAUGUAAUUAAGAUUAAAGAUUUAUCGGUGUACGAUGGGGAUGCGUUCCAUUAGGUAGUAGGCGGGGUAACGGCCCACCUAGCCUACGAUGGAUAGGGGUUCUGAGAGGAAGGUCCCCCANAUUGGAACUGAGACACGGUCCAAACUCCUACGGGAGGCAGCAGUGAGGAAUAUUGGUCAAUGGACGAGAGUCUGAACCAGCCAAGUAGCGUGAAGGAUGACUGCCCUAUGGGUUGUAAACUUCUUUUAUACGGGAAUAAAGUGAGGCACGUGAGACUUUUUGCAUGUACCUUAUGAAUAAGGACCGGCUAAUUCCGUGCCAGCAGCC